CUCCAGUUAGCCUAUUGGUAAAGGUUCUAGAUCGUCAAUUUGGAGACGGCGGGUUCGAUUCCCGUUCUGGUCG
rnacentral:tRNA from 1 species